rnacentral:rRNA from 1 species
GCUCCUUUGACGUUAGCGGCGGACGGGUGAGUAACACGUGGGUAACCUACCUAUAAGACUGGGAUAACUUCGGGAAACCGGAGCUAAUACCGGAUAAUAUUUCGAACCGCAUGGUUCGAUAGUGAAAGAUGGUUUUGCUAUCACUUAUAGAUGGACCCGCGCCGUAUUAGCUAGUUGGUAAGGUAACGGCUUACCAAGGCGACGAUACGUAGCCGACCUGAGAGGGUGAUCGGCCACACUGGAACUGAGACACGGUCCAGACUCCUACGGGAGGCAGCAGUAGGGAAUCUUCCGCAAUGGGCGAAAGCCUGACGGAGCAACGCCGCGUGAGUGAUGAAGGUCUUCGGAUCGUAAAACUCUGUUAUUAGGGAAGAACAUACGUGUAAGUAACUAUGCACGUCUUGACGGUACCUAAUCAGAAAGCCACGGCUAACUACGUGCCAGCAGCCGCGGUAAUACGUAGGUGGCAAGCGUUAUCCGGAAUUAUUGGGCGUAAAGCGCGCGUAGGCGGUUUUUUAAGUCUGAUGUGAAAGCCCACGGCUCAACCGUG